AGAUCUCAAUGAAUGUGCGAGUAACCCGUGUCAGAAUGGAGCAACGUGCACCAAUGGACGAAAUCAGUACAUAUGCACAUGCGCUGGUGGCUGGACAGGGACCACGUGCUCACAGGACAUCAACGAAUGCUCGAGCAACCCGUGCGAAAAUGGAGCCACAUGCAACAACCUUGUGAAUAGUUACUCGUGUACAUGUACCGGAGGUUGGCAAGGAACAAAUUGUGACCAAGAUGUAAAUGAAUGUGCCAGUAACCCGUGCAAAAAUGGAGCCACAUGCGCCAAUGGUCGAAAUGAAUACACGUGCACUUGUGCUGCCGGUUGGACAUCAACAAAUUGUGAUGUUGAUAUUGACGAAUGUGCGAGCAACCCAUGUCAGAAUGGAGCCACGUGUCAUAACGGACAGAAUAGUUACACGUGCGAAUGCGCGGGAGGGUGGACAGGAACACACUGUGAACUAGGUA